rnacentral:misc_RNA from 1 species
AAGUCGUAACAAGGUUUCCGUAGGUGAACCUGCGGAAGGAUCCUCGCAUCAACGCUUGUAUACCAAUAUUCAAACUCAACGUGCAAUGUAACGUCCCUAGCUGGACUCGCGUCAAUUAAUUUAUUAGUUGAAUCGGGUGCAGUUAGACAAUACCCCCCAGUUAGAAUUCUGCGGUUGCUGCUAAAUUUAUUUAGGGGUGGCUGUCAGAUUUUAACGUUAUUCACCAAUUCUUUAACCCUAUAAACUAAAUGUUUGUCUUAUCUUCUUCAGACUGAAUUGAGAUUCGAGUUGGAUUGAGAAUUUAUUCUUUCUUCCCACUUGCACUCUUAUUUUAGCUUUGUUACGAAAUAUUGAACAACUCUUAGCAAUGGAUAUCUUGGGUCAU